rnacentral:lncRNA from 1 species
AGAAGGGGAACGGGUGAAGGGAGUGAUGCUUCGAGAUUGCCGCCAUCCCUCGGAGAGGCGCGCGCGCUUCGAGCUCCCCGCCUUCUUUAUGGCGUAUGGCGGUUGUUGCUGACCUGGCAGUCUGAGGAUUUCGGCGGACAUCCUUCCUUAAUGGCGUCGAUUUGCCUUUGGGGCGCGAGCGACCCUUCGGCAGCCAGGCGUCCUCUGGCGUCACCGAG